UUUCCGCAGGUGAACCUGCGGAAGGAUCAUUCAUAAUAAGUGUUUUAUGGCACUUUUUUAAAUCCAUAUCCACCUUGUGUGCAAUGUCAGGGUUGAUUUUUCUCUCGAGAGGAUCAACCCCAAACAUCAACUAUAUCUCAACUCUUUGUCUGAAAAAUAUUAUGAAUAAAACAAUUCAAAAUACAACUUUCAACAACGGAUCUCUUGGCUCUC
rnacentral:misc_RNA from 1 species